rnacentral:rRNA from 1 species
UACGUAGGGUGCAAGCGUUUGUCCGGAAUUAUUGGGCGUAAAGAGCUCGUAGGCGGUUCGUCGCGUCGGCUGUGAAAUCCCGAGGCUCAACCUCGGGUCUGCAGUCGAUACGGGCGGACUGGAGUUCGGGCAGGGGAGACUGGAAUUCCUGGUGUAGCGGUGAAAUGCGCAGAUAUCAGGAGGAACACCGGUGGCGAAGGCGGGUCUCUGGGCCGAUACUGACGCUGAGGAGCGAAAGCGUGGGGAGCGAACAGG